rnacentral:misc_RNA from 1 species
GAUGAAGAACGUAGCGAAAUGCGAUAAGUAAUGUGAAUUGCAGAAUUCAGUGAAUCAUCGAAUCUUUGAACGCACAUUGCGCCCGCCAGUAUUCUGGCGGGCAUGCCUGUUCGAGCGUCAUUACAACCCUCAGGCCCCCGGGCCUGGCGUUGGGGAUCGGCGGAGCCCCUCGUGGGCACACGCCGUCCCCCAAAUGCAGUGGCGGUCCCGCCGCAGCUUCCAUCGCGUAGUAGCUAACACCUCGCGACUGGAGAGCGGCGCGGCCACGCCGUAAAACACCCAACUCUUCUGAAGUUGACCUCGAAUCAGGUAGGAAUACCCGCUGAACUUAAGCAUAUCAAUAAGCGGAGGA